UGGGGAAUAUUGCACAAUGGGGGAAACCCUGAUGCAGCGACGCCGCGUGAGCGAAGAAGUAUUUCGGUAUGUAAAGCUCUAUCAGCAGGGAAGAUAAUGACGGUACCUGGCUAAGAAGCCCCGGCUAACUACGUGCCAGCAGCCGCGGUAAUACGUAGGGGGCAAGCGUUAUCCGGAUUUACUGGGUGUAAAGGGAGCGUAGACGGCAUAGCAAGUCUGAAGUGAAAGGCUGGGGCUCAACCCCGGGACUGCUUUGGAAACUGUUAGGCUGGAGUGCAGGAGAGGUAAGUGGAAUUCCUAGUGUAGCGGUGAAAUGCUUAGAUAUCAUGAAGAACUCCGAUCGCGAAGGCAAGUGCCCGGGGUGCAACUGACGCUGAGGCUCGAAAGGUGCGGGUAUCGAACAGGAUUAGAUACCC
rnacentral:rRNA from 1 species